AAGACUAUACUUUCAGGGAUCAUUUCUAUAGUAUGUGACUAGAGAAGUUUCUCUGAUUGUGUAGAGCACCCGAAGCCAUGAGGAGGACCCAGCCAGAGUGUCCUCUCCUGAGCAUGAAGCCAGCUCUAGGUGUCGUUUCUGUGGCUGCCUUUGGCCAUUGAUGAUCUUCCCUUCCUUUGGAAGGGGUAGAGAGGAUGCAGUCUGAGUGGU